rnacentral:misc_RNA from 1 species
CCUUUAACCAUUUUUAACCCUUGUCUACCAUAAUUAUUAUGUCAUAAGCCUAUCUUUCUCUUCUCCUCUCAUUGAGUUCAACCAAACUAUGACCAUUUCUAAUAGUGCGGCAGGGUCUGGUUCUGGGUGUCUUUUCUGGGUGUCUUUCAGGCAUUGCUCGCCUGCUUCUAUGCAAAGGCAGCCUCCAAACACACCCAUCUGAUCAGAUUACUUACCCCAACACAGCUGAAUUUGAUCGUGUAAAUAAAUAUCAAAAGAAUGAAGUCAAUAUCAAGCUUGAAAGUGGAACUACUACUGCUACUGCUCCUGCCGCUGCUGCUGCUCCGGGAGUGGUGGCAAGGUUAAUGGGGUUAGAUUCGCUGCCCGAUACCAACUGGGUUCCAAAAGGAAGAACCCCAGAUUCAGUCACUCGGAGUAGGUCAGUGAAUUUUAUGGAUUACUUGCUUGACUUUGAUUUAUCACAAGCCCAGCAUCGCAGAGUCAAGACUUCGGUCUCCUUUCGUGAGGUACCUACGUUGUUAAAUCAACAAAAUCAGCAUGAUUUCUUCGUUCUUUACUUGGAUAAUACGGAGAAAACUAAGAAAGGAGCAUCCAAACUAAGGAAAUCUGAAGUGGGUCUUGAAGAGUUGAAGCAGCAGAAGAAUAAAGAGAAAAGCAAGAACAAGGUGAUCAAUAAUACACCAGCUGGAAGAGCAGGCAUGAAGAAGAAGGAGAAGAAUCAACGAAACAACUUGAACAUUUCCAAGUUAAAGGAUGAGCCAAUGAAAGUGUCUAACAAUAAACAAAUUUCCAGUUUCGGUAAUUGCAAAGGAGCUCAAGUUUCAUCAGGCUUUGUUUCGCCUCGUAAGAAGGAUGGAAUUUCCAAGGCAAAAAGUCCAGUGAAGCCCAUGAAUCAGAAGGAAGUAUUGGUCGAAUCGAAAUUCAUGAAGAAAAUUAAGAAUCAACUUGCAAUUAAAAACGCGCAAUCUGAUUGUAGUUCAGAAGAUUCAACUCCAGUCUCUGUUCUCGAUCUCGACGAAUUUCUUAUUCAUGAUUUAACACAUUUGUCAGAUUAUGCAAGUCCUCAGGAGUUUAAUCCAGGGAAGAAAUCUUCACCAAAAACCACUAACUUCGACUAUCCAUUUUCACAAGCCACUCGCUCAUGGAGCCCUGGCGAUGAUGCCAAGUAUUACAUAGAAGCAGCAAGAAAGCUCACCAGGUUAACAGAGGAUGACAUUAAGGAGUCAAAUUGGCUGGGAAAGAAUUUGUUCAACUUAGAAAGCUUUGAAGAGAUCUGUUUGGAUUUUGCGGGACAAAUCCUCGAUCUACUUGUAAAGCAAGUAGCAGAAGAACUUGUGGGACUUCACGUGGAAAAUAUACAACUACUUCAAUGAUGAUUGAUGGAAGUGUUCGAAAAUGUAUACACUGAGCAANAUGGAAAAUAUACAACUUACUUCAAUGAUUGAUGAAAGUGUUCGAAAAUGUAUACACUGAGCAANUUUUUUUUUUCCCCCAAAUUGAUUACUUGUCUAAUUAACGAAAACAAAUUAACAAGAUUGGUGAUCAGAUUGUGGGGUUGUGUAUUGGAAUUGUAAUGUGAAAGGAGAUCGCCGGCUUUGCCUGGGAGUGUGCACCAGGCGUGUCUGCACAUGAGGAGCAGAAAAGCUUCACGGGG